GACGAACGCUGGCGGCGUGCUUAACACAUGCAAGUCGAACGGAGUGGCGAACGGGUGCGUAACACGUGGGUGAUCUGCCUUGCACUUCGCGAUAAGCUUGGGAAACUGGGUCUAAUACCGGAUAGUGCAAGAUGAGCUCGCGGCCUAGUAGCUUGUUGGUGGGGUAAUGGCCUACCAAGGCGUCGACGGGUAGCCGGCCUGAGAGGGUGUACGGCCACAUUGGGACUGAGAUACAGACCAGACGACUACGUGAGGAAGCAAGGGGGAAUAUUGAACGAUGGACGGAAGCCUGAUGCAGGGACGCCGCGUGGGGGGUGAAGGCCUUCGUGUUGUAAACUCAUUUCGACAGGGACGCGAUACCUAAAUAAGAAGCACCGGCUAACUACGUGCCAGCGGCCGCGGUAAUAC
rnacentral:rRNA from 1 species